rnacentral:rRNA from 14 species
CAAUAAACUCAACAGAUAACUAAUAACAGCAGUGCACUGGAUACUAAUAUUAUUAAAGUGUUUCAUUGAAUAAGUAGGAUUAUCUAUCAAAGCAUUCACUUCUUUUAGAAUUGUAGCAGUAGAUAAGGAGUGAUGGGACAUGAUUCUACCCUUUGCUUUUUUAAUUUUGGAGUUCGGUGGAGGAGGUUUUAGUUGUCCGAUAUGUUUUU